rnacentral:rRNA from 1 species
GACGAACGCUGGCGGCGUGCUUAAUACAUGCAAGUCGAACGGAAAGGCCCCUUUGGGGGUACUCGAGUGGCGAACGGGUGAGUAACACGUGAGUAACCUGCCCUUGACUUCGGGAUAACUUCAGGAAACUGGGGCUAAUACCGGAUAGGAAUCCUUGCUGCAUGGUGGGGGUUGGAAAGCUUCGGCGGUUUUGGAUGGACUCGCGGCUUAUCAGCUUGUUGGUGGGGUAGUGGCUUACCAAGGCUUUGACGGGUAGCCGGCCUGAGAGGGCGACCGGCCACAUUGGGACUGAGAUACGGCCCAGACUCCUACGGGAGGCAGCAGUGGGGAAUAUUGCACAAUGGGCGGAAGCCUGAUGCAGCAACGCCGCGUGCGGGAUGACGGCCUUCGGGUUGUAAACCGCUUUCAGCAGGGGCGAAGCUUGUGGUGACGGUACCUGCAGAAGAAGCACCGGCUAACUACGUG